rnacentral:rRNA from 1 species
UACGAAGGGUGCAAGCGUUACUCGGAAUUACUGGGCGUAAAGCGCGCGCAGGCGGUCCUUCAAGUCAGGGGUGAAAGCCCAGGGCUCAACCCUGGAAUGGCCUUUGAGACUAGAGGACUUGGGUACGGGAGAGGUGAGUGGAAUUCCGAGUGUAGAGGUGAAAUGCGUAGAUAUCGGGAGGAACACCAGAGGCGAAGGCGGGCUACUGGGCUGAUACUGACGCUGAUGCGCGAAAGCCAGGGGAGCAAACGGG